rnacentral:rRNA from 1 species
GACGAACGCUGGCGGCGUGCCUAAUACAUGCAAGUUGAGCGCUGAAGGUUGGUACUUGUACCGACUGGAUGAGCAGCGAACGGGUGAGUAACGCGUGGGGAAUCUGCCUUUGAGCGGGGGACAACAUUUGGAAACGAAUGCUAAUACCGCAUAAAAACUUUAAACACAAGUUUUAAGUUUGAAAGAUGCAAUUGCAUCACUCAAAGAUGAUCCCGCGUUGUAUUAGCUAGUUGGUGAGGUAAAGGCUCACCAAGGCGAUGAUACAUAGCCGACCUGAGAGGGUGCACGGCCAAAUGGGGACAGGGACACGGCCCAAACUCACACGGGAGGCAGAAGUAGGAAAUCUUCGGAAAGGGACGAAAGUCUGACCGAGCAACGCCGCGGGAGUGAAGAAGUUUUUCGGAUCGUAAAACUCUGUUGGUAGAGAAGAACUGUGGGGAGAGGGGAAAGCUCAUCAAGGGACGGUAAAUCCCCAGAAAGGGACGGCGAACUAAG